UGUGUAGGCGGUUGCUUAAGUUUGGUGUGAAAUCUCCCGGCUCAACCGGGAGGGUGCGCCGAAUACUGAGUGACUCGAGUGCGGGAGAGGAGAGUGGAAUUCCUGGUGUAGCGGUGAAAUGCGUAGAUAUCAGGAGGAACACCGGUGGUGUAGACGGCUCUCUGGACCGUAACUGACGCUGAGACACGAAAGCGUGGGUAGCAAACAGGAUUAGAUACCCUGGUAGUCCACGCCCUAAACGAUGCAUAUUUGGUGUGGGCCGUUCAGUCGGUCCGUGCCGGAGCUAACGCGUUAAAUAUGCCGCCUGGGGAGUACAGUCGCAAGGCUGAA
rnacentral:rRNA from 1 species